rnacentral:rRNA from 1 species
UGGUGGAGUGAUUUGUCUGGUUGAUUCCGAUAACGAACGAGACGGGAAUAUUUAACUACGUUUUCAUUUUAAGAGUAAUUCGCGUUACUCUGACGUUCUUAAAUAGACAACUGUUUUCUAAACAGCGGAAGCGUCCCGCAAUAACA